UUGGUCCAUUAGAGGAAGUAAAAGUCGUAACAAGGUCUCCGUUGGUGAACCAGCGGAGGGAUCAUUACCGAGUUUACAACUCCCAAACCCAUGUGAACAUACCUACUGUUGCUUCGGCGGGAUUGCCCCGGGCGCCUCGUGUGCCCCGGAUCAGGCGCCCGCCUAGGAAACUUAACUCUUGUUUUAUUUUGGAAUCUUCUGAGUAGUUUUUACAAAUAAAUAAAAACUUUCAACAACGGAUCUCUUGGUUCUGGCAUCGAUGAAGAACGCAGCGAAAUGCGAUAAGUAAUGUGAAUUGCAGAAUUCAGUGAAUCAUCGAAUCUUUGAACGCACAUUGCGCCCGCCAGUAUUCUGGCGGGCAUGCCUGUCUGAGCGUCAUUUCAACCCUCAUGCCCCUAGGGCGUGGUGUUGGGGAUCGGCCAAAGCCCGCGAGGGACGGCCGGCCCCUAAAUCUAGUGGCGGACCCGUCGUGGCCUCCUCUGCGAAGUAGUGAUAUUCCGCAUCGGAGAGCGACGAGCCCCUGCCGUUAAACCCCCAACUUUCCAAGGUUGACCUCAGAUCAGGUAGGAAUACCCGCUGAACUUAAGCAU
rnacentral:rRNA from 1 species